UAUGAAGUUGGAAUCGCUAGUAAUCGCGGAUCAGCAUGCCGCGGUGAAUACGUUCCCGGGCCUUGUACACACCGCCCGUCACACCAUGAGAGUUGGGAAUACCCGAAGCCUGUGAGCUAACGUAAGAGGCAGCAGUCGAAGGUAGAAUCAAUGAUUGGGGUGAAGUCGUAACAAGGUAAC
rnacentral:rRNA from 1 species